UACGAAGGGGGCUAGCGUUGUUCGGAAUCACUGGGCGUAAAGCGUAUGCAGGCGGAUCGUUAAGUCGGGGGUGAAAACCCGAGGCUCAACCUCGGAACUGCCUUCGAUACUGGCGGUCUUCGAGUCCGGGAGAGGUGAGUGGAAUUGCGAGUGUAGAGGUGAAAUUCGUAGAUAUUCGCAAGAACACCAGUGGCGAAGGCGGCUCACUGGCCCGGUACUGACGCUGAGAUACGAAAGCGUGGGGAGCAAACAGG
rnacentral:rRNA from 1 species